rnacentral:misc_RNA from 1 species
AAAUUGGACUUCUUCGGGAGACUAUUCUUGUGGAGUGACAAUAUCAAUGGGGAUAUGAAUAUGGGGGCCUUCUUAUUGGUGAUUUUCAUCUUAUAAGAAAUAAUGGUCAGCUUUUGUGUUCUUUUCCUGCAAAUUACUCCUUCAUUGCACAAAGUUUUUUUUUCGAUAUGCUAUUAUUUGGUUUUACACUUCAACUGAAUGUGGAGAGACAGAUAGGCAUGUACACAG